rnacentral:tRNA from 1 species
GCCCCCGUGGCGAAAUGGUAGACGCAGUUGACUUAAAAUCAAUCGCUUCGGCGUGCGGGUUCGAGUCCCGCCGGGGGCACCU